rnacentral:misc_RNA from 1 species
GGAAGAGUUCCCAUUAAUAAGGGUAUGGCAUCCCCUGGGCCUUCUGCAAGGUCUCCUGCUGGUCCCAGUGAUGGACGGAGCAACUCAGUUACUAUUGGUAUUGGAGAUGAGCAUAUUGGGGCCGUUGUUGGCCGUGGUGGGAGAAACAUUAUGGAGAUCAGCCAGGUGAGUGGUGCCCGGAUUAAGAUAUCUGAUAGAGGUGAUUUCAUGCCUGGCACAUCAGACAGGAAGGUAACAAUCACUGGAACACCAGAAGCCAUACGCACAGCCGAGGCGAUGGUAAUGCAGAAGGUAGCAGCUAACCAGGAGAGGUGAUCGAUUUUGUUAGGCCUAUCGAAUGUCUGUGUCUUCCAUUGCUUGCUAAUUGUUUUGAAGAUUUUUACCUGAGUGAUA